CCGUUGAAAAAGGUUUGGGAUGACCUGUGGAUAGGGGUGAAAAGGCCAAUCAAACUCGGAAAUAGCUGGUUCUCCGCGAAAUCUAUUUAGGUAGAGCGCCGGAUGUUCACCGUUGGGGGUAGAGCACUGGAUGGGCUAGGGGGGAGCGAUCCUUACCAAACCUAACCAAACUCCGAAUACCAACGGGUUAUAGUCCGGCAGACAGACGGCGGGUGCUAAGGUUCGUCGUCGAGAGGGGAAGAGCCCAGACCGCCAGCUAAGGUCCCCAAGUCAUGGCUAAGUGGGAAAGGAUGUGGGAAGGCCAAGACAGCCAGGAGGUUGGCUUAGAAGCAGCCAUCCUUUAAAGAAAGCGUAAUAGCUCACUGGUCUAGUUAAGCCGUCCUGCGCCGAAAAUGUAACGGGGC
rnacentral:rRNA from 1 species